rnacentral:rRNA from 1 species
AUUGAACGCUGGCGGCAGGCCUAACACAUGCAAGUCGAACGGUAACAGGAAGCAGCUUGCUGCUUUGCUGACGAGUGGCGGACGGGUGAGUAAUGUCUGGGAAACUGCCCGAUGGAGGGGGAUAACUACUGGAAACGGUAGCUAAUACCGCAUAACGUCGCAAGACCAAAGAGGGGGACCUUAGGGCCUCUUGCCAUCGGAUGUGCACAGAUGGGAUUAGCUAGUAGGUGGUGUAACGGCUCACCUAGGCGACGAUCCCUAGCUGGUCUGAGAGGAUGACCAGCCACACUGGAGCUGAGACACGGUCCAGACUCCUACGGGAGGCAGCAGUGGUGAAUAUUGCACAAUGGGCGCAAGCCUGCUGCAGCCAUGCCGCGUGUAUGAAGAAGGCCUUCGGGUUGUAAAGUACUUUCAGCGGGGAGGAAGGGAGUAAAGUUAAUACCUUUGCUCAUUGACGUUACCCGCAGAAGAAGCACCGGCUAACUCCGUG